rnacentral:rRNA from 1 species
UGCAAGUCGAACGGAAAACAUAGCAAUAUGUUUUUAGUGGCGAACGGGUGAGUAACGCGUAGACAACCAACCUUUUUGUGGGGGACAACACUUCGAAAGGAGUGCUAAUACCGCAUACGCUCCAGAUGCCGCCUGGUGUUUGGAGGAAAGGAGCUUUACGGCUUCGCAAAAAGACGGGUCUGCGUCUGAUUAGCUAGUUGGAGGGGUAACGGCCCACCAAGGCGACGAUCAGUAGCCGGUCUGAGAGGAUGGACGGCCACACUGGGACUGAGACACGGCCCAGACUCCUACGGGAGGCAGCAGUGGGGAAUCUUCCGCAAUGGACGAAAGUCUGACGGAGCGACGCCGCGUGAGUGAUGAAGGCCCUUGGGUCGUAAAGCUCUGUCAUCAGGGACGAACGGUCACGUCAGGAAAUGGGCGUGAAUUGACGGUACCUGAGAAGGAAGCCACGGCUAACUACGUGCCAGCAGCCGCGGUAAUACGUAGGUGGCGAGCGUUGUCCGGAAUUAUUGGGCGUAAAGCGCGCGCAGGUGGGAUCUUAAGUCUGUUCUGAAAGUUCGGAGCUUAACUCCGUGAUGGGGUGGAAACUGGGAUUCUUGAGUAUCGGAGAGGAAAGCGGAAUUCUCCGUGUAGCGGUGAAAUGCGUAGAUAUGGGGAGGAACACCAGUGGCGAAGGCGGCUUUCUGGACGAUGUCUGACA